rnacentral:lncRNA from 1 species
GCCUUGAAAAUGAUCAAUCUAAACAAAAGAGUCAAAGGUCUGACUCGAAUGGACAUGGCUGGCCAAAGAAAGGUCAGAUAUGACUGGAGAAUAAUCAUCGAACAAAAGACUGGACCAAGCGCCUUCAGAAUUCGGUCAUAAGACCACAACAACAAGCACACAGAAGCCAUGAGAGGCUGAUACAGGUCUUGGAUGACCAUAGAAAGCCGUAGAUUAGGGUGGCGGUGGCUAGCGUUUGAUGUUGUUGUAGAGAGGAUUUGAGAGAGGAGGGGAAUUUAGAGGC